GGGUCAGUAGGUUGGUCGUGCCACCGGUACGUACUGGUCUCACUGAUUCCUCCAUCCUGAAGAACCGUAAUGCCAUUAAUUUGGUGUUGCGGGGAAACAGGACUGUUACUUUGAAAAAAUUAGAGUGUUUAAAGCAAGCUAACGCUUGAAUACAUUAGCAUGGAAUAAUGAAAUAGGACGAUCGAUCCUAUUUUGUUGGUUUCUAGGAUUGACGUA
rnacentral:rRNA from 1 species